GCUUGGUCGGGAGGGUUUCUUUCUUCCUUUUUUUUUUUUUUUUUUUUUUUUAAAUUCGCGGUCCGCCCCACGCCCGCUGGCUCCCUCACACUUUCCGCCGCCGCCCUCGCGGGUCCCGGGCUCUGUGGCUUCCCACGUCUCUAGCUUGCGGGUGUCGGUACCGGCCCCGGAGGGGACUUGGAGCAGGGGCCCGGAGCAGCCCCGGGGAGGGGACUGUUGCGAGUCUGGGGCCCCGCUCCGGGGACUAGGACGCUGGGGACCCCCGCCCCCGCCCCCCGGACUCGCCCCCGAGUGGGGGCCCAGGCUCCCGGCUCUACAACAGCCGGCCAGCAAACAGCGUCGCUGAGCACCUGCUCUGAUACUUAGGCGCAGCCGAGCUUCACACAGCCCUACUGUGUGCCGGGGGCCGUGCCGCACGCUGGGGCCUCCCUGCGCCUCGGGGCCACGCGCCGAGACCCGCGCGAGAGCCACGGGCGAGCAAGCCCCUCUCCCACAAGCGCCGGCCCCCUGCCGGGGCGCCGCGUGCGGACGCAAACUUCUCUCCGGGCUUUGAUGGCGCGGACCGACGCUAGCUAGCGCCCCGGGGCACGGCGGAAGGCCCUGCCCGCAAGUCCGAGCUCAGGCUCACUCCUGGGCUGCAAGGGCUCGCUCCCGGAGCCUCGCCGCACCAGCGCGGCUGUGCGCACGGGCACGGGCACAGUCACCCGCAGGCGCGCCCGACGCGUGCCCAGGCAGAGGCCGAGAGGAACGGGCGCAGACACCAGCCCCGGGCGCGGUCCCUGACGCGCUCACGCACUCUCGCAGGUCCCCCAGCUCGCACGGAGGUGCUGGCGAGGGGGACACAGGGACCCACACGGACUCCCGGACUUCACGUGGCCCUAGGAGAGCCCCAAGGACUGGUGGUUCCCUCAAAGGGGAAGCGAAGUUUUCCAGAAGAGCCUGGACCCACGUGACUCUGGAGGGGAAAGUGAGGCAGGUGACCUUGCACAGCCCACGCCAUGGCGUCACCUCCCAGAUGUCGCGGUCCUCUUUCAGACCGAGGCACAGACGGCAACCCCUGUCCUUCUGUUGGGGGAAAGGACUGGCCUGAAGUCGGGAGGACCUGAGUUCAAAUGUCACCUCAGACACUUAUCACUUCCUGGCUGUGUGAACCUGGGCGAGUCGCUUAACCCCAAUUGCCUCAGCAAAAAAAAAAAAAAAAAAAAAAGUCUCAUUGGAGUCAUUUAAUCCCCAAACAACUCUGAUUCUGAGCUGCAGAGGUGCUACUUUUAUGUUAGUAGAGAAUUUUCUAGAAAUAGCUUAUGUCAACAAAAUUAUAGUUCUAGUCCUUAUACCAUCUCUUCUCCCCUAUGCAGAGACCCUACCCAUUAUAACAAAGAUUUAAAGAAAAAAAAGGCAAUCUAUUAAAAAAAUAUUAAUUUAUAUUACCUGAGUUCAAAAGGAGUUUCUGAUACAUUUUAUAAUUUCUGCCACACUAUUUGAAGACUUUUUAGAUAGAGUGUGUUGGAUUGAGACUCAGAAAGACCGGGCAUCCUGAGAUCCUUAUUAGCACUCUUCUCCAGGACAAGUCAUCUAACUCUUCUACUCCUUCAUUUCCUGAUCUCCAAAACCCAAUCUCUAAAGUACUCUGCUAAGAUUCCUUCAAGUUUGAAAUCUAUGAUCUUAUGAGCCUCUUUUUGCUCCUCUGCAAAAUGCCAACUAGACUCAACACUCAGUUUAACCAAGAUGAAAAUGUAAUUUGGAAAUGUUUAACAAAUAAAAAUCUGAUAGAACACAGAUAAUGUUAAUUUGUGGUUUUCCAAGUCAAUAUAUACUUGCAGAGAUGUAGGCUUUAUCUUUACCACUGGGCUAGAUGACCUCUUCUAAUUAUUAAAACCUUUGAUCCUUGACCUGGAAAAAUUCAUUGAUUUGGAAUUAGAAGACCUGGGUUCAAAUCCCAGCUCUGGGGCAAGUGAUCUAACUUUUAGUAGAUUUGUUUUAAAGAAUUCCACUUCACUGAUUUGCAGAAUGUGGGUUUGGAUUAGGAGACCUUUGAAGUUCCUUCCUUCAAGCUCUAAAUCUAUGAUAUGAUUUUAUGGGAUCCUAUCUGUUUGUAUGAGAUAGGGGAAGAAUGGUAGUACUGUGUUGACCUUGACCUCUGGAAGCUGCUUUAGCUUGGACUGUUGCUUUCUUUUGGGGAGGCUUUGAGGUCAAAGGACACAGAUCUGCAAAUUUCUUCCAGACUUAUAAAUUGCAAAUCAACACAAUUGCUUUCUUUCCUUAUAUUUCACUGCUUUUCAUACGUAGCCUGGCAUUCAAGGCCUUCAUUUGCUCCAACCAAUGGCUUUAUCUCUCAGUUCCCCUAAGAAAGUUUCACUUAGACUAAAUUGAUCUAUUCCUUCUCCUCUUCCCUGCAAAUGCUUCUUUGUUCCUUCAAUUUAUCCUUCUUGGAGUUCCUUCGACUCUCAUUUUAUCUUACCUAACUCCAACCAAUCCUUUAAGGGAUUAUUGAAAUCUAUUUACCUCUAACUAUUUGAACCCAUAAUGAUCUUCUUUGAAUUUCUAUAUGUUCUGUCUACAUCCAAUUCAAUCUAUUGAACAUUAAACAGCAAAUUGUAUAAGCUACUAAGUAGGUACUAGGGAUUUAUAAAUUAUCUCAUUAGAAUGUCUGCCUCUUUUUGUAGCCUCAGUGCUUAGCAAAGUUCUUGCACAUAGUAGGUGCUUAUUAAAUGUUUCCUGAUUGAUUCUGUAUGUAUGUAUAUAUGGAGAUGGACAGUGAUUCCUUUUGAACAAAUUAUAAAUACAGUUUAUAUUGCAUUCAUUUCUCAAUAUACCCCUCAUUCCUCUACUACACAGGUAACUAUUCUUAAUACAAAUUUUUUUUUCUAAAGAAAGAAGGAAAAAAAUCCUGUUCAACAGCAACUUAAUCCGAUAGUAUAUUGCAAUGUUCCACAUUCAUAGUUCUCUACUGUUUCAAAAAAGGGAGGAAGAUGCAUUUUUUUUUCUUCGAGAAUAAGUUUGGUUGUUAUAAUUACAUAACAAUUACAUAACAUUCAGUUUCCAUUUUUGGAGCUAGGUGGAGCAGUGGGUAAAACUCCAAAUCUGGAGUUAGAAGAUUUGAAUUCAAAUUUGACCUUAGACAUUUACUGGCUAUGUAAGUCUGGGCAAGUCACUUAAUCUCUGUUUGCUUCAGUUUUCUCAUCUAUAAAAUGGAAAUAAUAUGACAGCACUUUCCUGGUAUUUUUUAAACAACUCAAACUGG
rnacentral:lncRNA from 1 species